GAUGAACGCUGGCGGCGUGCCUAAUACAUGCAAGUCGAGCGAACAGACGAGGAGCUUGCUCCUCUGACGUUAGCGGCGGACGGGUGAGUAACACGUGGAUAACCUACCUAUAAGACUGGGAUAACUUCGGGAAACCGGAGCUAAUACCGGAUAAUAUAUUGAACCGCAUGGUUCCAUAGUGAAAGACGGUUUUGCUGUAACUUAUAGAUGGAUCCGCGCCGCAUUAUCUAGUUGGUAAGGUAACGGCUUACCAAGGCAACGAUGCGUAGCCGACCUGAGAGGGUGAUCGGCCACACUGGAACUGAGACACGGUCCAGACGCCUACGGGAGGCAGCAGUAGGGAAUCUUCCGCAAUGGGCGAAAGCCUGACGGAGCAACGCCGCGUGAGUGAUGAAGGUCUUCGGAUCGUAAAACUCUGUUAUUAGGGAAAAACAAAUGUGUAAGUAACUAUGCACGUCUUGACGGUACCUAAUCAGAAAGCCACGGCUAAAUACGUG
rnacentral:rRNA from 1 species